AUUCCAGCUCCAAUAGCGUAUAUUAAAGUUGCUGCAGUUAAAAAGCUCGUAGUUGGAUUUGUGGCGUGGUCGUCCGGCGGGGCUCCUUCAUUGGGGCCGUUUGUCUGGUUUUUCGACCGCCCCAUUCUCGGGUAGUGUGUCGCUGGCAUUAGGUUGUCGGCUUCUUCACGCCCGUCGUUUACUGUGAAAAAAUUAGAGUGUUCAAAGCAGGCUUAGGCCGUUGGAUACAUUAGCAUGGAAUAAUGAGAUAGGGCCACGACGGUCUAUUUUGUUGGUUUGCACGUUGUGGUAAUGAUUAACAGGAACGGUUGGGGGUAUUCGUAUUCAAUUGUCAGAGGUGAAAUUCUUGGAUUUAUGGAAGACGAACUACUGCGAAAGCAUUUACCAAGGAUGUUUUCAUUA
rnacentral:rRNA from 1 species